rnacentral:rRNA from 1 species
GAUGAACGCUGGCGGCGUGCCUAAUACAUGCAAGUCGAGCGAACAGACGAGGAGCUUGCUCCUCUGACGUUAGCGGCGGACGGGUGAGUAACACGUGGAUAACCUACCUAUAAGACUGGGAUAACUUCGGGAAACCGGAGCUAAUACCGGAUAAUAUAUUGAACCGCAUGGUUCAAUAGUGAAAGACGGUUUUGCUGUCACUUAUAGAUGGAUCCGCGCCGCAUUAGCUAGUUGGUAAGGUAACGGCUUACCAAGGCAACGAUGCGUAGCCGACCUGAGAGGGUGAUCGGCCACACUGGAACUGAGACACGGUCCAGACUCCUACGGGAGGCAGCAGUAGGGAAUCUUCCGCAAUGGGCGAAAGCCUGACGGAGCAACGCCGCGUGAAUGAUGAGGGUCUUCGGAUCGUAAAACUCUGUUAUUAGGGAAGAACAAAUGUGUAAGUAACUAUGCACGUCUUGACGGUACCUAAUCAGAAAGCCACGGCUAACUACGUG